UACGGUGGGGGCAAGCGUUGUUCGGAAUUACUGGGCGUAAAGGGCUCGUAGGUGGCCAACUAAGUCACACGUGAAAUCCCUCGGCUUAACCGGGGAACUGCGUGUGAUACUGGAUGGCUUGAGUUUGGGAGAGGGAUGCGGAAUUCCAGGUGUAGCGGUGAAAUGCGUAGAUAUCUGGAGGAACACCGGUGGCGAAGGCGGCAUCCUGGACCAAUACUGACGCUGAGGAGCGAAAGCUAGGGGAGCAAACGGG
rnacentral:rRNA from 1 species